rnacentral:rRNA from 1 species
GACGACCAUAGACCAUUGGAACCACCUGAUCCCAUCCCGAACUCAGCAGUGAACCGAAGUAUCGCCGAAGGUAGUGUGGGGUUUCCCCAUGUGAGAGUAGGUCAUCGUCAAGA